CUGGGAAUGAUUUGUCAAGUAGGAGUGAUUGUGAGAGCGAAUGGAAUUUCUUUUCACUCUAUCGGGUUUUGAGGAGAGGCAAAAUGGGCCUAAUGAAAUCUCCCUGACGUGCCUUGAAGAAUGCCUCUCCAUUAUGGAUACAGACAGCUGGGCUGGAAUAGCAUGGCUAGGGUAAUACAUUAUGAACGCACAGAUGCGCCCACACACAUGCAGAACCACACACACGCAGACCCACAUGCACAAAAAUGCAUGAGGAUGCAGGCACGCACACACAUUCACACAAACACGCUUACAGUUAAUAGCACCUAAACUGACAUUUUAGAGAACAAAUAUUGUAUAGACAAAUAUCAUGAGGACCAUUAAACGAGUGAACACACAUCACUGACAAACUGAAAUGGUCCACCCAACAGCGCCACUUCAACCUCAGGCAGCUGAAGAAAUUAGGCUUGGCACUUAAAACCCUCACAAACUUUUACAGAUGCACAAUCGAGAGCAUCCUGUCGGGCUGUAUCACCGCCUGGUACGGCAACUGCAUCGCCCGCAACCGCAGGCCAUACGCAUUACCAGGGGCACACUGCCUGCCCUCCAGGACACCUACACCACCCGAUGUCACAGGAAAGCCAAAAAGAUCAUCAAGGACAACAACCACCCUUGCCACUGCCUGUCCGCCCCGCUAUCAUCCAGAAGGCGAGGUCAGUACAGGUGUAUCAAAGCUGGGACCGAGAGACUGAAAAACAGAUUCUAUAUUAAGGCCAUCAAACUGUUAAACAGCCAUCACUAGCACAUUAGAGACUGCUGCCCUGUAUACAUAGACUUGAAAUCACUGUCCACUUUAAUACUUGAAACACUAGUCACUUGAAUAAAGUUUACAUAUUUUGCACUACUGGUCUCAUACAGUAUGUACAUACUGUAUUCUAUUCUACUGUAUUUUAGUCUGUGCUGCUCUGACAAUUUUACUUUAAAUGUGUGUGUAAAGUGUGUAUUGUUGUGAAAUUGUUAGACAUUGCUUGUUUGAUAUAAAUGCACUGUUGGAACUAGGAACACAAGCAUUUCGCUAUACCCGCAAUAACAUCUGCUAAACACGUGUACGUGACCAAUAAAAUGUGAUGUUAUGGAUUAAACACCAUCUCCUCCAUAACAUCAUGGGAGAUAAGAACCUUGAUGAGAAAACCUUAUGCAGUGUCUACAGUGUACUCAUCUAUAUGCAUUGUUGCCAAUUAAACAUAACAAACUAAUGA